UCAACAAAAGCGCAUCGCUGCUGUGUCAUUAUGCGAAUGGUCUUGGCAUAUGAAACUUCUUAUACAUAAUCAUCGCUGAAUAUUAUGAGAUUGUGUUUAAAGUUUGUAACUUCUUAUCUGAUGUGGGAGCAUUGGGUUAUAUCAAUCGGCCCUCAAGCUCCACUUAUGUUUCCUCGAUCAAACCAACCCACUCAUGUUUAUUCAAUUAAAAUUCUAUUUCCUCUACAACUUAAUAAGUUGGGUUCAAGGUUGAAGUUAGCGAAUACGCAGAGAGGUUAUUCAUUCGAUGGAUAAGAUAUUAAUUUCGUGGGCGUCGAUUGAUUACAUUGUUCUCGAUUUACAAGCUUGUUGUCAAAUCCUAGGCUACUAAUCCAUUACAUGACGAACAGAGACUGUUUUGGUCAAUCACUACCGCUGUUAGAUGACCUUUUACAAUGAUUUUUCAGCUUCCAAGACCGAUGCACCAAUUUAGAGUCUUUUUAAGUUUCAGUGCAUCUAAUAAAUAGUUGCAUGCAUCAAGUCUUUAAAUUCACUAACUUUUUAUGAGUAUUUAUGAUGGUAUUUCUCAAGUUUCAAUGCAUCUAAUAAUUAGUGGCAUGCAUUAAGUCUCUUAAUUCACAAUUUAGCAUUCCAUCCAAGGCCUUUGCCUAAUCUUGGAUUGUUAAUAGUGUAUGCAUCUUGACACUCCCCAACCCAAAGUUGUUCUUCCCAUUGAAAUCACCACUUUCUACUAUCGCUCUAAACAUAACUAUAACAACAGAAUUUCAAAUAGAAAUCAAACACGCAAAAACACCAAAUCGGAAUUCAAAAAUCCUAUCUCUUUGCGCAAAUAUCUCCACAAUAGGAGUUCACCAAAAGGGAGUCUUAAGUUCAAGUCUGUCAACAUAUUCAGAUAUAUUUACUUGGACUCAAAAGCUUAAGUGAAUUAGUUCAAUGAAUUGCAAAUCACAUCAAUUCUUCAAUAAGAAACAUUUUCUUAUACAAGUCAUGCGUGAAAUAUAUGCAAAUUGUACAUUUUCUUCCCUUUCCUCUUCGGUCAGUGCAUGCGUGAUGCAUGUGCCACACUGACCUAUCACUUAUGAAUAACAAUCCACAAAUCAUUCUUUAUCAAGAAAAGAAAGAAAAAAAGAAAUGCCCCCCUCAUUGUUUAUUCACAAAGUAAAAGAUGGAAAAUAUAAAGAAAUUGAGAAAUUGGAGGGCGGUGGAUUGCGGGCGACACAUGCUUUUGAGAGGUUGGAAAUUAUUUGUGAUUGCUUCAAUUAAAGAUAUCUUUAUAUUUUCACUAAUCUAAAUAUAACGUAUUGAAAGUGAAGUACCCACUAGUCACUAAUUAGGUUAUGAUUAGUAUACAUGUGCAAGUAUUCUCAAAUUACACAAUCAAGAUUCUGACCCAAAUCUUAAAGCUUUAGAUGUGGGACGUGAGCAUGUAAAAUAAGGGCAAAAGUAGGAUAAACAAAAAUUUGUCUUGUCUCAAUGAGGCAUCCUCUUCAUCCUCGAUCGGGGUCAGAAAUGCCUCAUCUUCAUCUAAUUCCAAUGUCUGAUGAUUAUUUCUACUGUUGGAUUUAAUUCAUGUGCUCUCUCACGUUUUGUUCGCGAGAGAAUGUUAGAAAAGUGUAUAAACGUGGAGUUAGUCAUAUAAAUUAUUCAUCCACCAACAAAAGAAACAUCAAGAUUAUAGUGGAAGUACUUAAAUGCAAAGGAAGCCAUUUGCUUGAUGCCAAUAGACAAUAAAAAAAAAAACUCAUCAAUUGAGAGAUUGGUUGAAGAAGUGGUUACACAAAAAAAAAAAAAAAAAUCCUUUAUAAUCUAUACAAUUGAUUUGAUUAGAUAUAUUAUCAACAAAAAGCCAAUAUAGAGUUCAAUGAUGAUAUUCAUAUGGCUAUCGGCAAGACAUGGAAUAGUCACCGAUAGAUAUAUAAUGUAGUUAUCUUGACUCUUCCCUACCCAAAGUUAUUCUUCUCAUUGAACUUUCUACUUUCUAGUUUCACUCUAGAAAUAAUUGCAAUGGUAGAAUUUCCAGAUAGAAAUCAGAUACAUAGAAAUCCCAAAUCAAAAUUAAGAAAAUCCUUUUUGCUAGCUCAAAUACCCGUACCUUGGAAGCUCACCAAGAGAGAGUCUUAAGUUCGAGCCCGUCAAAAUAUUCAAGUGAACGUUCAUUCACUCGAAAACUUAAGUAAAUGAGUUAUGGGUCAAUUAGCUGCAAAUCACAUCAAUUCUCCAAUAAGGAACUUUUUCUAAUACAAUUUUUUUUUUGGUAAAGAACUUUUUCUAAUACAAUUCACGUGUGAAUAAUAUGAAAGUUGUACAUUUUCCUUCCUUUUCUCUUUGGUCAGUGCAUGCAUGAUGCAUUCGCCAUACUGUCUUUCACUUAUGAAUUAACAACUCAAGAAUCGUUCUUCAUACAAGAAAAGUUAUAAAUAAAAAAAAAGGCCAGCUAAUUGUUUAUUCUCAAAGUAAAAGAUGUAAAAUAUAAAGAAAUUAAGCAAUCAAAGGGUAGUGGAUAGUGGGCAGCAUGUGCUUUUGAGAGGUUGGAACCUUUUGUGAUUGCUUCUAUUAAAUAUAUCUUUAUAUUUGCACUAAUUUAAAUAUAGCUGACAACCUGUAAGUUUAUGUGUAGAACACAUGCACAAAUGUUCUCAAAUUACACAAUCAAGAUUUAUGAUCAAAAUCUGAAGCUUCAGAUAUGGGAGGUUAGUAUGUAAAAUAUGGGGAAAUGUAGAACAAGCAAAGAUCAGUCUUGUCUCAAGGAGGAAACUAGUCAAAGUGGUGGGCGACGGGACAUCCUCUUCAUCCUUGAUUGCAUGCAUUAAGUAUCUUAAUUCACAACUUUUUAUGAGUAUUUAUUGUGGUAUUUAUCAAGUUUCAAUACAUCUAAUAAUUAUUGCAUGCAUUAAAUCUCUUAAUUCACAACUUAGCCUUGCCAUCCAAGGCCUUUCCCAAAU
rnacentral:lncRNA from 1 species